AGUGCCCUGCGAUGCACGUGAAAGGCCGCAAGUUCUGAGCCAACACCAAUACAAAGGGAGCCCGGUCUCUGGGCGUGGCUUGUAGGCCCCCUUGAGGGGAAACAAAAAGCGCCCAGGAGGGCACCCACCUGUAGAGAGAGGGUUCAUGGAAACUGCGGCGCUUCACGGCAUAUGUGGGGUUUUA
rnacentral:other from 1 species